UUGUUCGAGCACGCGUUGAGCAACGCGCCGGAGAAGCUUCCAUUGCAGUCCUCGCCGUCAAAAUCCGUCCGGGUGUCCACGACACUGGUCGAGGUCCUGCGCCGCGCGCAGUCCACGCAGAAAAAGCGCACGAACGCUGCUCGAUCUGCUCCAGGACUCACAGAUCUCCGUCCACAUGCCGAAAGCAAUGGCGACGCUGAGGAGAUAGCUGCUCGUGAAGCCUGCCCGAGCCUCCUCGUGCCAGAUCUGGCCAAACUUGAAUCAGUUGUUUACUGA
rnacentral:misc_RNA from 1 species